GAUGAACGCUAGCGGCAGGCUUAACACAUGCAAGUCGAGGGGUAACAGAGAGUGCUUGCACUCUGCUGACGACCGGCGCACGGGUGAGUAACGCGUAUGCAACCUACCUUUUACAGGGAAAUAGCCCAGAGAAAUUUGGAUUAAUAUCCCAUAUUAUCUUUUUUUCGCAUGAAUUAAAGAUGAAAGUCCCGACGGUAAAAGAUGGGCAUGCGUCCUAUUAGUUUGUUGGUAAGGUAACGGCUUACCAAGACUUCGAUAGGUAGGGGCCCUGAGAGGGGGACCCCCCACACUGGUACUGAGACACGGACCAGACUCCUACGGGAGGCAGCAGUGAGGAAUAUUGGACAAUGGAGGAAACUCUGAUCCAGCCAUGCCGCGUGCAGGAUGAAUGCCCUACGGGUUGUAAACUGCUUUUGUACAGGAAGAAACAUUUCCACGUGUGGAAACUUGACGGUACUGUAAGAAUAAGGAUCGGCUAACUCCGUGCCAGCCGCCGCCGUAACAC
rnacentral:rRNA from 1 species